CUCGUGAACGGACGGAAAGGUAUGCGCUAAACAUGGCCGGCAACAUGAUUUUUUAACUGGAGGUGGCAAAAGAGGAACCAGCAAAACCACCACGAACGAUUUCACACGCAUUAAAAGCAGAGCGAUCCGCAUGCCCAUGUGGCGGCAUGUUACUCUGGGGCGGAUCGUGCGGAUCGUGGCGGAUCGUGCGUUCUGGGUCAACUUCGUAGAAAAUCCCUGAGCCAGAGAGAGAGAGGAGAUCCUGAGGAACAACGGGACUUAUAGGAUCAAGGUUGGCAGAAAAACGUCCCUUGAGGUAUCGUCUACUACACAGACAUCGUCUGCGAAGGACUGGAUUGACCCCAGUCACGCUAUAGGAGUCCCCAGUGAAAGAGGGCUGCCGCUAUCAAUGUUACGACAGCAGACUGCCGCAGAUCUUCGUGGAAGCUUUGUUUGAACUCGAUUAGUAUUUAUUUAUUUUUUCUUUACUAAUCUUUCUUCCACGUAGGUACCUCGCAACCAUUAUGAGGGACUGCGGAGUGCCAGGGCUUGACCGUGCAUUGUCGAACUGGACGAUGCCGAAGUCCAUCUCACAUCAGUGUGCGUCUUUGAGGCAUGGAACGGCAUAUAUCGCGUGCGCAUUUACGCAAAGAAUACAGAAACUUUCAUCUUUAGCUCUGCUACCACUAGGCACGUUAGCUGGAUAGAUAGUUGUGCACGGUCUGAUAUAGAGCCGUGCGCGUUUAUUGCUAUAAUAAUA